GACAGAGGCCUCAAGCGUUAGGCGGAAUCACUGGGCUUAAAGCGUGUGUAGGCGGAUCGUUAAGUGUCUUGUGAAAUCCCACGGCUCACCCGUGGAACUGCUGGGCAUACUGGCGAUCUUGGGCCAACUAGGGGCAACUGGAACAAGCGGUGGAGCGGUGAAAUGCGUAGAUAUCGCUUGGAACGCCAACGGUGAAAACAGGUUGCUGGGGUUGUGCCGACG
rnacentral:rRNA from 1 species